ensembl:lncRNA
CUCAAUUGAAGGAACCCUCCGGAAGCCUCAGGCCUGUAUGAGCCCGUACUCACACCUGCUCCUGUCCUUGUGUUUUCAUGAAAGAAGUAAAAACAUGAAGCUACUAUGAGGGGGGUCAAGGAUGGCAGAGUAUAUUCCAUGCCGUUCAUAUCCACUCCAGCCACAACGCACUGACAACGUGGAUUCUGUGACGCCAUCUUUAGACCCUGGGUGGUCCGUCCAUUAUUUUGGAAAGCCCUCACUCUUUCCAUCUCGGAAAACUCUGAACCCCGUUAUUAAAAAGAUAUGUAUUCGACUUCAACUUCAUAUUCAACUUUUUUACCAAGCAAACAAAUAAAAGACACAGUGCUUUCAAAGGGAAAAGCCAUCGGCGCAAACGAAAAAC